UACGGAGGGUGCAAGCGUUAUCCGGAUUUACUGGGUUUAAAGGGUGCGCAGGCGGAUAUGUAAGUCAGUGGUGAGAUCUCCGGGCUUAACCCGGAAACUGCCGUUGAUACUAUAUAUCUUGAAUGCUGUGGAGGUAAGCAGAAUAUGUCAUGUAGCGGUGAAAUGCUUAGAGAUGACAUAGAAUACCUAUUGCGAAGGCAGCUAACUACGCGAUAAUUGACGCUCAUGCACGAAAGCGUGGGGAUCAAACAGG
rnacentral:rRNA from 1 species